UGAACGCUGGCGGCGUGCUUAACACAUGCAAGUCGAACGAAGCGUCCCGCCCGAUGAAAUGGAGUACUGUACAAAAUCGAUUCAAUUGGGAUGACUUAGUGGCGGACGGGUGAGUAACGCGUGGGUAACCUGCCUUACACAGGGGGACAACAGUUGGAAACGACUGCUAAUACCGCAUAACCCGCUAGUACCGCAUGGUACAGACGGAAAAGAUUUAUCGGUGUAAGAUGGACCCGCGUCUGAUUAGCUAGUUGGUGAGGUAACGGCUCACCAAGGCGACGAUCAGUAGCCGGCCUGAGAGGGUGAACGGCCACAUUGGGACUGAGACACGGCCCAAACUCCUACGGGAGGCAGCAGUGGGGAAUAUUGGACAAUGGGGGAAACCCUGAUCCCAGCGACGCCGCGUGAGUGAAGAAGUAUUUCGGUAUGUAAAGCUCUAUCAGCAGGGAAGAAAAUGACGGUACCUGACUAAGAAGCCCCGGCUAACUACGUGCCAGCAGCCGC
rnacentral:rRNA from 1 species